UACGUAGGGUGCGAGCGUUAAUCGGAAUUACUGGGCGUAAAGCGUGCGCAGGCAGUUCGUUGUGUCUGAUGUGAAAGCCCCGGGCUCAACUUGGAAUGGCAUUGGAAACUGGCGAGCUAGAGUGUGGCAGAGGGGGGUGGAAUUCCGCGUGUAGCAGUGAAAUGCGUAGAGAUGCGGAGGAACACCGAUGGCGAAGGCAGCCCCCUGGGCUAGCACUGACGCUCAGGCACGAAAGCGUGGGGAGCAAACAGG
rnacentral:rRNA from 1 species